GUUUAUGUCACGGACCAAUGAAAUAAUGUUAAUUUAAACGUGAAAGUUGUUUAAUAAUUUUACUGAUCGGUCAUACAGAAGUAAUGGAAAUAAAAUUUGUUAAAUGGGUGUUUGUGCACAACAGGCACUUGUACAGCAAUCAGAUGAGAACGUUAAAUGCAAAUUUAUACCAAGGUUUGACUUCUCUUCAAGACUUGAACUUGAACAGAAAACUGAUCACCAUUGUUGCAAAUUUUUUCCAAUGGUCGACGGCUCUUGGAAUCUUGUAAGUAAAUUUGUUC